rnacentral:rRNA from 1 species
GAUGAACGCUGGCGGCGUGCCUAAUACAUGCAAGUCGAGCGAACAGACGAGGAGCUUGCUCCUCUGACGUUAGCGGCGGACGGGUGAGUAACACGUGGAUCACCUACCUAUAAGACUGGGAUAACUUCGGGAAACCGGAGCUAAUACCGGAUAAUAUAUUGAACCGCAUGGUUCAAUAGUGAAAGACGGUUUUGCUGUCACUUAUAGAUGGAUCCGCGCCGCAUUAGCUAGUUGGUAAGGUAACGGCUUACCAAGGCGACGAUGCGUAGCCGACCUGAGAGGGUGAUCGGCCACACUGGAACUGAGACACGGUCCAGACUCCUACGGGAGGCAGCAGUAGGGAAUCUUCCGCAAUGGGCGAAAGCCUGACGGAGCAACGCCGCGUGAGUGAUGAAGGUCUUCGGAUCGUAAAACUCUGUUAUUAGGGAAGAACAAAUGUGUAAGUAACUAUGCACGUCUUGACGGUACCUAAACAGAAAGCCACGGCUAACUACGUG